rnacentral:rRNA from 1 species
CCAGACUCCUACGGGAGGCAGCAGUGGGGAAUAUUGCACAAUGGGGGGAACCCUGAUGCAGCGACGCCGCGUGGGCGAGGAAGUAUUUCGGUAUGUAAAGCUCUAUCAGCAGGGAAGAAGAUGACGGUACCUGAGUAAGAAGCCCCGGCUAACUACGUGCCAGCAGCCGCGGUAAUACGUAGGGGGCAAGCGUUAUCCGGAUUUACUGGGCGUAAAGCGCUCGUAGGCGGUAUGUCAAGUCAAGGGUGAAAUCCCCGCGCUCAACGUGGGAACUGCCUUUGAAACUGGCAAACUGGAGUGUGUGAGAGGAUAGUGGAAUUCCAGGUGUAGGAGUGAAAUCCGUAGAUAUCUGGAGGAACAUCAGUGGCGAAGGCGACUAUCUGGCACAUAACUGACGCUGAGGAGCGAAAGCGUGGGUAGCAAACAGGAUUAGUACCCCAGUAU